rnacentral:tRNA from 1 species
GGUUAUGGCUCAGGGUAGAGUGUUCACCUAAUACGUGUGAGGCCCUGGGUUCGAUCCUCAGCACCA